rnacentral:tRNA from 1 species
GUGGUUCAGUGGUUAAGACUUUGCGUUUCCAAUGCAGGGGUCACAGGUUCAAUUCCUGGUC